ensembl:lncRNA
GGUUGUGACAUCAGUGCUCUUAACUCUAUUUAAAGAGAACCCACCGACUGGGUAUAGCUCAUUGUCUUCGCAUCAUUACACCUGAUCAACUGCUGAAAUUAACUGUGACUCAAAGAACUGACCACCAAGAUUAUGAUGAAGACUGUAAUCUUUUUGGGAUGCCUCCUGGGUCUGUCAUUGGCUCUUCCUGCUGAUGUGGAUCACUUGAGAGUUGCACGUUCCAGCUCUGACUCCAACUCUAACUCAAACUCCAGGGAGGCUGGUUCCUUUCUGCCCUCCCUGCCACAGUUGAAUUCAAAUCAGCUACUUCAACUUCUACUUAAACUGUUUGCUGCCUCUGUCCCAGCACCAGCCCCUGCCCCAGCUCCUGCACCUUCCCCAGCCCCUUCACCUGCCCCUGCCCCUUCACCUGCCCCUGCCCCAGCCCCUGCUCCUGCUCCUGCUCCUGCUCCUGCUCCUGCUCCUGCUCCUGCUCCUGCUCCUGCUCCUGCUCCCCCUGCCCCAGCACCUGCCCCAGCCCCUGCUCCUGCUCCAGCCCCAUCCCCUGCUCCUGCCCCAGCCCCUGCUCCUGCCCCAGCCCCUGCUCCAGCCCCAUCCCCUGCUCCGACCCCAGCCCCAGCCCCUGCCCCAGGUGGACGUUAAACAGGACAGGAACAAAUGCAUACGCUUAUCAAGAGAACAUCCCUGGUCAUCCCUACUGCCUCUGAUCUGGUGGACUCACAAAACACAAAUGCUUAGUUUCUAAAGAUGUCUGAGUGUUGGAGUGUACCCCUGGCUAUCCGUAAAUAAAGUAAACAAGAAAAUGGUGCCGUCUGGUUUGUUUAAUAUAAGGUUUUUGAAAUGAUUUAUACUUUCACUUUUACAUUUGAUACUUAAGUAUAUUUGAGCAAUUACAUAUACUUUUGAUACUUAAGUAUAUUUAAAACCAAAUACUUUUAGACUGUUACUCAAGUUGUAUUUAACUGGGUAACUUUCAUUUCUAUUAAGGUAUUUUUACUUUCACUCAAGUAUGACAAUUGGGUACCUUUCCCAACACUGGAUUCCCCAAACAUCAUAAGUACAAUGUAUAUCCUUUAAAUUCAUUAAUUCACUUUUCAGUCGAUCAGGUAUUUCAUGGAACUCCCAGACAUUGACUAUGAAGUGUGAUUCCUUUAUGCAUUUCUGUUUAAUAAACACAUUAAUAUUUCAAGCUCAAUUGUAUGUCUGUCCAGUCCUCUGAUGAAUGCUCAUUAAGUUUAUGAAAAUUGUGAGAAAUCUAUACAAAGUGUGUUACAUUACAUUGCGUUAUUUAAUAAAUAAAUAAAAGUGUUGUACAUUAUAUUGCAUGAUAGGAGAAAAUCUAAAUAAAGUCUGGUAAUUGAGUUAUAUUGUGUAAGUUAAGAAAUUAAAGUUAAACAUUACAAUUAAAUGUGUUCAUUUAGCCUCCGCAAUGCCCCAAAACAGGUAGAUGAAUCAUCGACAGUUUCAAAACCUUUCAAUUUAGCUAAAGUUUCCUAAUACUGAUGAGACAUUGUUCUUUGUGGGCACUGUGGAUAUACAGAUUUGUAGGAUUAC